rnacentral:misc_RNA from 1 species
AAAGAUUGUUCCUUAUCAGGGCAGAACUUAUCCACUGACAUCUAUUUGAAGGACGAAAGAAAAUUGGCCCAAAAGAUGCUUUUCCGUAAGGAUGAACAUAGGCCUCUCUUCGUGCACCCUCUGGCAUUGAGAACCCAUAACUAGUUGUAUUGAACUCAUUAUGAACCAAACUACUUGAUGAAAGGGGCUGCACAAAACCAUC